rnacentral:rRNA from 1 species
ACAUGCCUAAAAUAUAGUGUUAAUGCACCAAAUCCCAUUAGAACUCCACAGUUAAGCGCACUCAAGCUAGAGUAGUAUUGGGAUGGGUGAUCGCCUGGGAAGUCCUAGUUUUACAUGCC